AUUGAACGCUGGCGGCAUGCCUUACACAUGCAAGUCGAACGGCAGCACGGGUGCUUGCACCUGGUGGCGAGUGGCGCACGGGUGAGUAGUACAUCGGAACAUGUCCUGGAGGGGGGGAUAGCCCGGCGAAGGCCGGAUUAAUACCGCAUACGAUCUACGGAUGAAAGCGGGGGACCUUCAGGCCUCGCGAUCUAAUGUUGGCCGAUGGCGGAUUAGCUAGUUGGUGGGGUAAAGGCCUACCAAGGCGACGAUCAGUAGCUGGUCUGAGAGGACGACCAGCCACACUGGGACUGAGACACGGCCCAGACUCCUACGGGAGGCAGCAGUGGGGAAUUUUGGACAAUGGGCGAAAGCCUGAUCCAGCAAUGCCGCGUGUGUGAAGAAGGCCUUCGGGUUGUAAAGCACUUUUGGCCGGAAAGAAAUCCUUGGCCCUAAUACGGUCGGGGGAUGACGGUACCGGAAGAAUAAGCACCGGCUAACUACGUG
rnacentral:rRNA from 1 species